GAUGAAGAACGCAGCAAAAUGCGAUAAGUAAUGUGAAUUGCAGAAUUCAGUGAAUCAUCGAAUCUUUGAACGCACAUUGCGCCCGCUGGUAUUCCGGCGGGCAUGCCUGUUCGAGCGUCAUUUCAACCCUCAAGCCCCCGGGUUUGGUGUUGGGGAUCGGCUCUGCCCUUCUGGGCGGUGCCGCCCCCGAAAUACAUUGGCGGUCUCGCUGCAGCCUCCAUUGCGUAGUAGCUAACACCUCGCAACUGGAACGCGGCGCGGCCAUGCCGUAAAACCCCAACUUCUGAAUGUUGACCUCGGAUCAGGUAGGAAUACCCGCUGAACUUAAGCAUAUCAAUAAGCAGAGGA
rnacentral:misc_RNA from 1 species